UUCCGUGGGCCUCACUGUCCUCUCCUCUCGCGUGCCCGCGCCGCCGCGAUCGCCAAUCGCCAUGGCUCCUCCUCCUCCCAACUCCCGCCUGCCAACGCCGACGGCGUCAGCGGCUACGGGCACCUCCUCGUCGCGAAUAGACUCGCCGUCGCUAAAGGCCGCGCUCGCAAUGGCUCUCAUCCACUACAACCGCCUGCCCGGCAAAGCCAACGCCACCGUCACCGCCACCGCCGCCUCCGCAGGCACAUCGCCCCCGCCUCUUAUCCACUGGAAGCGCAAGGCCAAGGACCGGAAGCGCGAAAUCCUCCGCCUCCGCGAAGAGCUCAAGCUCCUCCAAGAUGGGGCGCGCGGGGAGGAGAUGGAGCCCCCGGUUGCGUCGUGCCGGUGCCACUUCUUCGACGGGUGCGGGGACCUUCCACCGCAGCAGGGUGGCGGUGGUGGGGAGCAUUGGGUUGACGAGGUGCUGAGGAGGAGGUUUCUCAGACUCGUGCGGUGGAAGGAGAAACGACGGCGAGUGGAUCGGCCUCUUCCAAGUUGUAGUUUGAUUGAUUUCAACAGUGAGGAUGAGAUGCAGCAGCUCAGCAUGUCGAUUGAUUUCCUGGUGGAGCUAUCAGACGGCAUUUUUGCCAAAAGAGAAGCUGGCCCCUCAUUUGCUACAUUUUCUCACCAAGCAGUAGAUUUCAUUUUGGCUACACUGAAGAACAUUCUUUCAUCAGAAAGGGAAAAGGAGCUAGUUGGGGAGAUAAUCGAUGGUUUAGUGACUCGUUUGAUGAAAAGGAUGUGCACCGUUCUUGAAAAUCCUGGAUCAACUGGCUGCUCAGAUGCCCAGUUCUCUGUGCAGCAUUUAUUCCGUAAGUUGGGAAAUGAUGAAUUCAUUGGUCAGCGGGUAAUCCUUGCAGUUUCUCAAAAGAUCUCAAAUGUAUCUGAAAGAUUGCUCUUGAUCGAUCCGUUUGAUGAUGCUUUCCCUGAUAUGCAUGACAAUAUAUUCAUCAUGAUUCAGUUACUCGAGUUCCUCAUAUCUGAUUACAUGAAAGUUUGGCUAUGCUGCGAGCAUAUUGACAAAAGACUUUUUGAGGAAUGUACCAGAUCCAUUCUCAAGGCACGCAAUGAUUUGCGAAUCCUGGAAAACAUGAAUGGGCUCUAUGUGGUGUACAUUGAGCGUGUGGUCGGAAGGUUGGCAAGGGAGGUGGCUCCUGCUGCACAUCAAGGAAAGCUUGACCUAGAAGUCUUCUCCAAACUGUUGUGCUGAGAGUGCCUGCAUCUGACUUUCCAAGCCCGACGACCCGGCCUGCUAAAUGCUCAGCCGUGCAGGUGUGUUUGGCUGGCGUGCUGUACUUUGCCUGCACACGUCAAGAUAUGAACACAGGAGAGAUGGAUGUAAGAUACUAGAUGACAUGCUGGGCUAGCUGAGCUCUUGAUGAGCUAUGCGCAGCGGCGACAAGGAAAUAGCUGGACUUUUGCCUAAGCAGUUGCUUUAGUUAGUAGGACAUGCAUGCAUUGGCCUUUAUUAAAUUUCUUGCAUCAUUGUGUCUUGUUAUGUAUAGCUAGUCACCAUCUUCUUCAUCAAUGCAAUAACAAGAAGGCUCUCCUGCUUUGGUCGUUUGAAAAACUAAAUGCACAUACAGCUUCAUGCCCUCAUGCAUGAUAGGGUUAUUAUCGUUGAGCAAGAAGAUGAGAGUGAUGUAAGCGAGAUUAGUAGCUAGGGGAGAAAAUGGCCAUAUAUAGGUGAUCACAUCAGGUUUGCCUCUAUUGUUGCUUGCAA